AAAUUGAGCCGUAUCACUCUGCACCCUAAGACCGGUUACUCACUAAAUCUAAGCAGGGCUGAGCCUGGUCCGUACCUGGAUGGGAGACCACAAGGGAAAGCUAGGUUGCUUUU
rnacentral:rRNA from 1 species